rnacentral:lncRNA from 1 species
UCAUCAUCAAAAAUUACAUUUUUCUCUUACAUUCCUCAUCCAGCCCAUCAGCAAAUCUUUGUUGUUUCUACUUCAACAAAACAAUCAGAUCUUACAAUUGUUGCCACUGACACUGAUUCCAAUACUGGUUCAAGCUACAAUAAUCUCUCCACUGGAAUCUUGCAAUCACCUCUUAAUUCUGCUCCCUGAUUCUAUCUUGUUCCCCUUUGAGAUAUUCUUAACACAGAUCAGAUGGAUCCUCUUAAUGUGUAAGGUAGAUCAUGUCACCCUUCUGCUCAACACCCCCUGAGAGGUUCCCCUGUCACUUUCCAACUGAGGUACCAGGUUCAUCUCCCUGGGGCUUGUCGGACAGUGGGUGCAGCCCAUGGAGCAUGAGCCGAAGCAGGGUGGGGCAUCGCUUCACCCAGGAAGUGGAAGGGGUCGGGGAUUUCCCUUUCCUAGCCAAGGGAAGCCGUGACAGACAGUACCUGGAAAAUUGGGGCAAUCCCACCCUAAUAUUGUGCUUUUCGAAUGGUCUUAGCAAACAGCACACCAGGAGAUAUAUCCCGUGCCUGGCUCAGAGGGUCCCAUGCCCACAGAGCCUCGCUCACUGCUAGUACAGAAGUCUGAGAUCAAACAACAAAAGGCAGCAGAAACUUCUGCAGACUUAAAUGUCCCUGUCUGACAGCUUUGAAAAGAGUAGUGGCUCUCCCAGCACAGAGUUUGAGAUCUGAGAAUGGAUAGACUGCCUCCUCAAGAGGGUCCCUGAUCCCCAAGUAGCCUAACUAGGAGGCACCUCCCAGAAGGGGCCAACUGACACCUCAUACAGCCUGGUGUCCCUCUGAGAUGAAGCUACCAGAGGGAGGAUCAGGCAGCAACAUUUCCCAUUCUGCAAUAUUUGCCAUUCUGCAGCCUCCACUGGUGAUACCCAGGCAAACAGGGUCUGGAGUGGAACUCCAGCAAACUCCAACAGACCUGCAGCUGAGAGUCUUGACUGUUAGAAGGAAAACUAACAAACAGAAAGGACAUCCACACCAAAGUCCCACCUGCACGUCACCAUCAUCAAAGACCAAAGGUAGAUAAAACCACAAAGAUGGGGAGAAACAAGAGCAGAAAAGCUGAAAAUUCU